UUCUGAAAACUUCCUCUUUCAUUGAUCGUGCAUUGUGCUGUGCAGACGUCGAACCGUCUUCGCAGUAAACUAAAAUGAGAGCUAAGUGGCGUAAGAAGCGUAUGCGGAGGUUGAAGCGUAAGCGCAGGAAGAUGCGUGCGAGAUCCAAGUAAACCCCCGGCCGGUACCUUCCGAUUAGCUGUGCGGCGGACCUCAACAACAUCUAGACAAGCCACGUCCCGGGUGCAUCAUUCCCGACACCAGUACGAAACCGGACCAACUUCCAUCGGUUGCGGUGAACUUUCGGUGUGUUUUCUCACAUAGUUUGUGUUUGGUGAAGGUUCUGAUCCAAAUAAAACGAAAGGAGUGAACAAUGUGCUUCCUGGAUUGGCGAAUCCGGAUGAAUAUUGCUAAACAUAAAAGAAA